GAUGGGCUGUGCAAAGGGCACGGCUGCUGAGGACAGGGCUGUGGCUGGAGAACCCGCUGCUUCCUGAAGCCCAGCCCCACCCUAAAGGACCGAGAGCACACGCCAUGGGAAAGGAACCGAGCAGGGGUGCAGAGCCUGGUGGCACUGUGCUGAGAGAGGAGGAGGCUGGGCAGGGCCCCAGUGCUGGAGAGGUGCCCUGCAUAUGGGACCUCUCAGAGGUGCAGAAGAGCUGUGUGCCCAGGUACCCCGUCUCUUCUCCUUCUCCAUCCCCCAGCCUACUCUCCUAAUGGUCUGUGUCUUUCAGGGAUGAGAUUUACUGCCAGAUCUGCAAGCAGCUCUCGGAGAACUUCAAAACAAGCAGCCUGGCCCGGGGCUGGAUCCUGCUCAGCCUCUGCCUCGGCUGCUUCCCACCCUCAGAGAGGUUCAUGAAGUAUCUACUGAACUUCAUCGGCCAAGGGCCGGCGACCUAUGGCCCCUUCUGUGCCGAGCGCCUGAGACGCACCUAUGCCAACGGGGUGCGUGCGGAGCCCCCCACCUGGCUGGAGCUGCAGGCUGUCAAGUCCAAGAAGCGCAUCCCCAUCCAAGUCAUCUUGGCCACUGGAGAAAGCCUAACCGUCCCCGUGGACUCAGCCUCCACAUCUCGGGAAAUGUGCGUGCACAUCGCUCACAAGCAGGGCCUCAGCGACCACCUGGGCUUCUCCCUCCAGGUCGCUGUGUACGACAAGUUCUGGUCCCUGGGCAGCGGGCGCGACCACAUGAUGGAUGCCAUCGCCCAGUGUGAGCAGCUGGCCCAGGAGAGGGGCGAGAGCCAGCGCCAGUCACCCUGGCGCAUCUACUUCCGGAAGGAAUUCUUCACCCCCUGGCACGACUCCCGGGAGGACCCCGUCAGCACCGAGCUUAUUUACCGCCAAGUCCUCCACGGAGUCUGGUCUGGCGAGUACAGCUUCGAGAAGGAGGAAGAGCUGGUUGAGCUGCUGGCCCGGCACUGCUACGUGCAGCUCGGCGCCUCAGCGGAGAGCAAGGCUGUCCAGGAGCUGCUGCCCAGCUGCAUCCCCCACAAGCUGUACAGGACCAAGCCCCCAGACAGGUGGGCGAGCCUCGUCACUGCCGCCUGCACCAAGGCCCCAUACACUCAGAGGCAAGCCACACCACUGGCCGUGAGAGAGCAGGUGGUGGAUGCCGCCCGCCUGCAGUGGCCGCUGCUCUUCUCCCGGCUCUUUGAAGUCAUCACACUCUCAGGCCCCCGCCUGCCCAAGACGCAGCUGAUCUUGGCUGUUAACUGGAAGGGGCUUUGCUUCCUGGACCAGCGGGAGAAGAUGCUGCUGGAACUCUCUUUCCCAGAGGUCAUGGGUCUGGCCACCAACAGGGAGGCCCAGGGCGGGCAGAGGCUGCUGCUCUCCACAAUGCAUGAGGAGUACGAGUUUGUGUCGCCCAGCAGUGUGGCCAUCGCUGAGCUGGUGGCCCUGCUUCUGGAGGGCCUGAAGGAGAGGUCCGUGUUCGCCAUGGCCCUGCAGGACAGGAAGGCCACAGAUGAUGCCACCCUCCUGGCCUUCAAGAAGGGGGACCUGUUGGUUUUGACAAAGAAGCAGGGGCUGCUGGCCUCUGAGAACUGGACCCUCGGCCAGAACGACAGGACAGGCAAGACGGGGCUGGUGCCCACGGCCUGCCUCUACACCAUCCCCACGGUCACUAAGCCCUCGGCACAGCUGCUGAGCUUGCUUGCCAUGUCACCAGAGAAGAGGAAGCUGGCGGCUCAGGAGGGGCAGUUCGCAGAGCCACGUCCUGAGGACCCACCCAAGGAAAAGCUGCACACCCUGGAGGAGUUCUCCUAUGAGUUCUUCAGGGCUCCAGAGAAGGAUAUAGUGAGCAUGGCCGUGCUGCCCCUGGCCCGUGCCCGCGGCCACCUGUGGGCCUAUUCCUCCGAGCCGCUGCGACAGCCGCUGCUCAAGCGAGUCCACGCCAACGUCGACCUCUGGGACAUCGCCUGCCAGAUCUUUGUCGCCAUCCUCCGGUACAUGGGCGACUACCCUUCUCGGCAGGCCUGGCCCACCCUGGAGCUCACCGACCAGAUCUUCACGCUGGCCCUGCAGCACCCGGCCCUGCAGGACGAGGUCUACUGCCAGAUCCUGAAGCAGCUGACGCACAACUCCAACAGGCACAGCGAGGAGCGGGGCUGGCAGCUGCUGUGGCUGUGCACGGGCCUCUUCCCGCCCAGCAAGGGGCUGCUGCCCCACGCCCAGAAGUUUAUAGACACUCGGAGGGGGAAGCUGCUGGCCGCCGACUGCAGCCGUCGCAUCCAGAGGGUCCUGAGGACAGGGCCCCGGAAGCAGCCCCCGCACCAGGUGGAGGUGGAGGCCGCGGAGCAGAACGUCUCCCGCAUCUGCCACAAGGUCUACUUCCCCAACGACACCAGCGAGAUGCUGGAGGUGGUUGCCAACACACGGGUGCGGGAUGUGUGUGACAGCAUUGCCACCAGGCUGCAGCUGGCCUCCUGGGAAGGCUGCAGCCUCUUCAUCAAGAUUGCAGACAAGGUGGGCUGGGCUGGGGCUGGGCAGACGGCAGGCGGGAGGCCAGUAAGCGGGGCCCUAGGUGCUGCCUGUGGGGGCCUCAGCCUACCAGGGGCACCCAUGCUGGAUCAGGCUGCACGGCCAGGGCUGCCGAGACGGAGGUAGGUGGGGUCCUGGAGCAGAGCCAGUGCCACACGCCAAUAGCCCAUGCACAGCCGACUCCAGCGCAGCACCCAGGCCGCAGGUGGCCACUGGACCAGAGCCCAGCAGGGCCCUCUCAGGAGGACAGUCCCCGGAAGCCACCCAACUUCCCUGUACCUUCUCCUUCCCCAGGUCAUCAGCCAGAAGGAGGGAGACUUCUUCUUUGAUUCCUUGAGGCAGGUGUCUGACUGGGUAAAGAAGAACAAGCCCCAGAAAGAAGGGGCCCCCGUGACGCUCCCCUACCAGGUGUACUUCAUGCGGAAAUUGUGGCUCAACAUAUCCCCGGGGAAGGAUGUGAAUGCGGACACCAUACUCCAUUACCACCAGGAGCUGCCCAAGUACCUGCGCGGAUUCCACAAGUGUUCGCGGGAGGACGCCAUCCACCUGGCGGGCCUCAUCUACAAGGCCCAGUUCGACAAUGACCGGUCCCAGCUGGCUAGUGUCCCCAAGAUCCUGAGGGAACUGGUGCCCGAGAACCUCACACGCCUGAUGUCCUCGGAGGAGUGGAAAAAGAGCAUCCUUCUGGCCUAUGAUAAGCACAAGGACAAGACAGUGGAGGAGACCAAGGUGGCCUUCCUGAAGUGGAUCUGCCGGUGGCCCACCUUCGGGUCUGCCUUCUUCGAGGUGAAGCAAACCUCGGAGCCCUCCUACCCAGACAUCAUCCUCAUCGCCAUCAACCGACAUGGGGUUCUGCUCAUCCACCCCAAGACCAAGGACCUGCUCACCACCUAUCCCUUCACCAAGAUCUCCAGCUGGAGCAGCGGCAGCACCUACUUCCACAUAGCACUGGGGAGCCUGGGCCGUGGCAGCCGCCUGCUGUGCGAGACCUCCCUGGUGAGCUCAGGUCCCUUCUCCCAGCCAAGAUGCAUAGGAUGCAGCUGCUGGAGACUGGGUUCCCCACCCUCACCCCUUUUCAGUCACAGGGCCCAGGCGGGGCCAGCAGAUCUGGAGAGGGACUGGGUGCAUCCCCAGGAUCAGCAACCAAGAUGGCAAGGCCAGGCGGGACCCCCUGCACCCCUGGCCCGUUCCGAGGAGGGAGGGAGACACAGCUCCAGCAGGGCAGGCAGAAAUGACGCCCCCAAUGGCAGGGGCCCGCCUUCCCUUUCUCCAUGCCCUGCAGGGAGAAGGUGGUCUUAGUUGCUGAGGAAGAGAAGGUGGUCCCUGAGUCCAGGAACCCCACCUGUCCUCUGCACCCACAGCCUCUGACCCACCCUGUCCCCUGUCCAGGGCUACAAGAUGGACGACCUGCUGGCCUCAUACGUGCAGCAGCUCCUGAGUGCCAUGAACAAGCAGCGGGGCUCCAAGGCCCCAGCCCUGGCCAGCACCUAGCAGCGGACGCUGGCGUGUCUGCUCAGGCGCCCUUCCCGACCUCUAUCCUGGCGGCACCUUCCCAGGCCCUCUCAGCCCAGGGCCUGUCCUCGGCAGGCAGCCUUCCAUGCUGCCCCCAUACAAAGCCCACUCAGCCCCGCAGGCGGCCCCCUCUGUCCUGGACGCUGCCCCGGGAGGCCCAAAGACGGGCCCAGAGUGGGGUCGGGAGUCUCGGACCCCCAGGCUGUUGGUGGAUGGCUGAGAGGACACCUCCCAACCCCACCCCACCAGAAUGUUCAAUAAAAACCCCUGGAGCAGG
rnacentral:sRNA from 1 species